rnacentral:pre_miRNA from 1 species
CUAUGGCCCUGUUUGGGUAAAGUUCUCAAUAAGCACUUAUAGGAAAAGAAAUAACAAGUUAAAAUGAAUUAAGCUUAUCCCACAAGUUAAAUUAGCUUUUGGAAAAAAAUGAAAAAACUUCCAUAAAUUAGCUUAUACAUAAACUAAUUUUAACUUAUGAGGGAAGUUUAAAUCAUUUUCUAUCUAUUUUCUUCUUUUACAAGUGCUCAUUGAGAACUUUAUCCAAACAGAGCAAUA